rnacentral:rRNA from 1 species
GGUCAUAUGCUCGUCUCAAAGAUUAAGCCAUGCAAGUCUAAGUUCACAUCAUUUAAAGAUGAAACUGCGAAGCGCUCAGUAAAUCAGUUAUUGUCCGUUCGGUCAUAUCAGCCAUGGAUAACUGUGGUAAAUCUAGAGCUAAUACAUAGCAAAUCUCACCAUGUAAAUGGUGGGAGCAUUUAUUAGACUCGACCAACUGGCCUCGGCCAUUUGAUGAAUCCUAAUAACUGAGCAUAUCGAACAUUAAUUUGUCGAUAGUCCGAUCGAAUUUCUGCCCUAUCAACUAGUUGGUGAGGUAGUGGCUCACCAAGGUUGUGACGGGUAACGGGGGAUCAGGGUUCGAUUCCGGAGAGGGAGCCUGAGAAACGGCUACCACAUCUAAGGAAGGCAGCAGGCGCGCAAAUUACCCAAUCCAGACUUUGGGAGGUAGUGACGAGAAAUACCGGAGUGGACCGUAAAAUGGUUCACUAUCGGAAUGAACGUAAUUUAAUACCUUCGAUGAGUAGCUACUGGAGGGCAAGUCUGGUGCCAGCAGCCGCGGUAAUUCCAGCUCCAGUAGUGUAUAUCAAAAUUGUUGCGGUUAAAACGCUCGUAGUUGAAUUACAAAAGCUCUUUGGCGGCCAAAUCUAGGUUUGGUCGUUGUGGGGUUUUUUUAUCGCGAGAGCCAUACGUGGGAUUAAAUUCUUGUGUGUGGUCACUUGCGAGGUGUGCCUUGAAUAAAGCACAGUGCUCAAAGCAGGCGAACGCUUGAAUGUUAUAGCAUGGAACGAUUAUGUUGAUCUUGUCGACUGUUGGUUGUUGACAGUGGUCUCGAUUAAAAGGGACAUUUGAGGGCGUUAGUACUUGGUGGCGAGGGGUGAAAUCCUUUGACCCAUCAAAGACUAACUAAUGCGAAAGCAUUCGCCAAGAGUGUUUUCAUUAAUCAAGAACGAAAGUUGGAGGUUCGAAGACGAUCAGAUACCGUCCUAGUUCCAUACAGUAAACUAUGCCAACAUGGGAUUAGCCCGGUUUAAUCCAGGUUGGGCCCUCAGUGAAAACGUAGUGUUUCGGCUUUGGGGAGAGUGCUCACGCAAGUGACAAAUUUAAAGAAAUUGACGGAAUGGCACCACCAGGAGUGGAGCCUGCGGCUUAAUUUGAUUCAACACGGGGAAACUCACCAGGUCCAGACAUUGGUAGGAUUGACAGACUGAGAGAUCUUUCAUGAUUUGAUGAUUGGUGGUGCAUGGCCGUUCUUAGUUGGUGGAGUGAUCUGUCAGGUUUAUUCCGGUAACGAGCGAGACCACGAUCUUUAAUUGAUUACGGUUAAAAUGUCUUGACCGAUCUUAAAGAGACCACCGGAUUGAAGCCGGGGGAAGCGUGGCAAUAACAGGUCUGUGAUGCCCUUCGAUGUUCUGGGCUGCACGUGUGCUACAAUGAUAGUGACAACGAGUACCUGCUCUGAGAGGGGUGGGAAAUCUUAAAAAUCGCUAUCUUGCUUUGGACUGAGCCUUGUAAUAAUUGCUCACGAAAGAGGAAUUCCUCGUAAGCGCGAGUCAUCAGCUCGUGUUGAAUAAGUCUCUGCCCUUUGUACACACCGCCCGUCGCUACUACCGACUGGAUGUUGCUUCGAAAUGUUAGGACUUGCGGCGUCUUGACGCUGCGGGGAAUAGUUUUUAGAUGUAAUUUCUGGAGGAAGUAAAAGUCGUAACAAGGUUUCCGUAGGUGAACCUGCGGAAGGAUCAUCAAUGAAUUGUUCAACUUGUAGAGUUGAUUGUUA